CGGAAGCCAGUCCCUUGAAAAUUCUGCGGUGAUGACUGAGCCUUGCACCGGCCCUCCCAAUCCCAGUUUUAACUCCAGCUCUGAGAUCCCCUCAUUCUCCAGGAGAGGAAGCCGUUCUUGUCUUCCAACCCCAAGGUCUAGUUGAGUUUCUAGAAAGGCAGGAUUUCUGGCUCCCCACACGAAGCCCACCAACUCGAAGCCCACAAGCUCUCCUGGAGUUCGAGGAUUCAGGCGAACUGGAGAGCCAGUUUUCUACGAGGCGACCAGGGAAGGGAGUGUUUAGCCCCACGACCUAGUGGGGAGCUGUCUGAUCACUCUGCACUCUGAUUUCCCUCUCUUUCUUCCCCAGCACAAGAGACACACCAGGUAGAGGAAGCCCAUUCUUAGAGCAGGGGCCUCACUCACCCAGUGCAGAUAGAGGGUCUAAUAAUUAGGGGAAAGAAUCUAGGGUUAGAUGGUCUUCCCCAGGUUUGAGACUUCCCACCAGUAUUUUAGGUGAUUCAGUGCGGAGGAGGACUGUCGGCUAAAGGAUGCUCUAAGCCAGCUCUGGGUGAUCUGCUAUGAGCGGCUGUCAUCCUAUAUGCUGGGAAGGAGCAGAUCCUGUAGCUGCUGGUGCUGGAGCAGUUCCUGACCGUCCUACCUGAGAAGGUCAACACCAGGUUGUGAGAGCAGUACCUGGAGAGUGGAGCUGAAGCUGUAGUUGUUCUGAGGACAUUGUGAAAAAAACUUAUAGCACCGGGAGAGUGGUGGGAAGGAAAUCAGGUGUUUUAAGUUAAGAUUCAGAAGCACAGAUGCAUUGCUUUUUGGUACCCAACUUGAAGACGGCAACCGUUUUGCUAUCCCAAGGCACAUCCAUUGAGGUUUUCAACAAGCAGUGUGCUUGCCUGUUUCAGGGAAUUAUCUGUUCCUCGUCAAUGGAUUUUUGAGCUUGUGUUUCUGAGGUGCUUGGUUUUUUAUUCUUCCCUCUAUUCCUUUUCUUAUGAAAGAAAUUUUUAAUUUUUCCUGUGUCCCAAAAUCAGAUACCACCUUUCCUGUAAUAUGCUCUGUAAGUGGUCACUGAAUGUAUGAUUAAAUGAUUUGGAAAGGGG